AUUGAACGCUGGCGGCAGGCCUAACACAUGCAAGUCGAGCGGAUGAAGGGAGCUUGCUCCUGGAUUCGGCGGCGGACGGGUGAGUAAUGCCUAGGAAUCUGCCUGGUAGUGGGGGAUAACGUCCGGAAACGGGCGCUAAUACCGCAUACGUCCUGAGGGAGAAAGUGGGGGAUCUUCGGACCUCACGCUAUCAGAUGAGCCUAGGUCGGAUUAGCUAGUUGGUGGGGUAAAGGCCUACCAAGGCGACGAUCCGUAACUGGUCUGAGAGGAUGAUCAGUCAACCUGGAACUGAGACACGGUCCAGACCCCUACGGGAGGCAGCAGGGGGGAAUUUUGGACAAUGGGCGAAAGCCUGAUCCAGCCAUGCCGGGUGUGUGAAGAAGGUUUUCGGAUUGUAAAGCACUUUAAGUUGGGGGGAAGGGCAGUAAGUUAAUACCUUGCUGUUUUGACGUUACCAACAGAAUAAGCACCGGCUAACUUCGU
rnacentral:rRNA from 1 species